AACCUGGUUGAUCCUGCCAGUACUCAUAUGCUUGUCUCAAAGAUUAAGCCAUGCAUGUCUAAGUAUAAGCACUUUAUACUGUGAAACUGCGAAUGGCUCAUUAAAUCAGUUAUCGUUUAUUUGAUAGUACCUUACUACAUGGAUACCUGUGGUAAUUCUAGAGCUAAUACAUGCUAAAAACCCCGACUUCAGGAAGGGGUGUAUUUAUUAGAUAAAAAACCAACGCCCUUCGGGGCUCCUUGGUGAAUCAUAAUAACUUAACGAAUCGCAUGGCCUUGCGCCGGCGAUGGUUCAUUCAAAUUUCUGCCCUAUCAACUUUCGAUGGUAGGAUAGUGGCCUACCAUGGUGGCAACGGGUAACGGGGAAUUAGGGUUCGAUUCCGGAGAGGGAGCCUGAGAAACGGCUACCACAUCCAAGGAAGGCAGCAGGCGCGCAAAUUACCCAAUCCCGAUACGGGGAGGUAGUGACAAUAAAUACUGAUACGGGGCUCUUUUGGGUCUCGUAAUUGGAAUGAGAACAAUUUAAUCCCUUAACGAGGAACAAUUGGAGGGCAAGUCUGGUGCCAGCAGCCGCGGUAAUUCCAGCUCCAAUAGCGUAUAUUAAAGUUGUUGCAGUUAAAAAGCUCGUAGUUGAACCUUGGCUCUGGCUGGCCGGUCCGCCUCACCGCGAGUACUGGUCCGGCUGGAGCUUUCCUUCUGGGGAACCUCAUGGCCUUCACUGGCUGUGGGGGGAACCAGGACUUUUACUGUGAAAAAAUUAGAGUGUUCAAAGCAGGCCUUUGCUCGAAUACAUUAGCAUGGAAUAAUAGAAUAGGACGUGCGGUUCUAUUUUGUUGGUUUCUAGGACCGCCGUAAUGAUUAAUAGGGAUAGUCGGGGGCGUCAGUAUUCAGCUGUCAGAGGUGAAAUUCUUGGAUUUGCUGAAGACUAACUACUGCGAAAGCAUUCGCCAAGGAUGUUUUCAUUAAUCAGGGAACGAAAGUUAGGGGAUCGAAGACGAUCAGAUACCGUCGUAGUCUUAACCAUAAACUAUGCCGACUAGGGAUCGGACGGGAUUCUAUUAUGACCCGUUCGGCACCUUACGAGAAAUCAAAGUUUUUGGGUUCUCGGGGGAGUAUGGUCGCAAGGCUGAAACUUAAAGAAAUUGACGGAAGGGCACCACAAGGCGUGGAGCCUGCGGCUUAAUUUGACUCAACACGGGGAAACUCACCAGGUCCAGACAAAAUAAGGAUUGACAGAUUGAGAGCUCUUUCUUGAUCUUUUGGAUGGUGGUGCAUGGCCGUUCUUAGUUGGUGGAGUGAUUUGUCUGCUUAAUUGCGAUAACGAACGAGACCUCGGCCCUUAAAUAGCCCGGUCCGCAUUUGCGGGCCGCUGGCUUCUUAGGGGGACUAUCGGCUCAAGCCGAUGGAAGUGCGCGGCAAUAACAGGUCUGUGAUGCCCUUAGAUGUUCUGGGCCGCACGCGCGCUACACUGACAGGGCCAGCGAGUACAUCACCUUAACCGAGAGGUUUGGGUAAUCUUGUUAAACCUGUCCGUGCUGGGGAUAGAGCAUUGCAAUUAUUGCUCUUCAACGAGGAAUGCCUAGUAGGCACGAGUCAUCAGCUCGUGCCGAUUACGUCCCUGCCCUUUGUACACACCGCCCGUCGCUACUACCGAUUGAAUGGCUCAUUGAGCCUUGGGACUGGCUCAGGAGGGUUGGCAACGACCCCCCAGAGCCGGAAACUUGGUCAAACUCGGUCAUUUAGAGGAAUUAAAAGUCGUAACAAGGUUUCCGUAGGUGAACCUGCAGAAGGAUCAAG
rnacentral:rRNA from 1 species